CCUACGGGAGGCAGCAGUGGGGAAUAUUGCACAAUGGGGGAAACCCUGAUGCAGCGACGCCGCGUGAGUGAGGAAGUAUUUCGGUAUGUAAAGCUCUAUCAGCAGGGAAGAAAAUGACGGUACCUGACUAAGAAGACCCGGCGAACUACGAGCCAGCAGCCGCGGUAAUACGUAGGGGGCAAGCGUUAUCCGGAUUGACGGGGUGUAAAGGGAGCGUAGACGGCUAAGCAAGUCAGAAGUGAAAACCCAGGGCUCAACCUGGGGAGUGCUUUUGAAACUGAGUAGCUAGAGUGCAGGUGCGGUAAGCGGAAUUCGUGGUGUAGCGGUGAAAUGCGUAGAUAUUAGGAGGAACACCAGUGGCGAAGGCGGCUUACUGGACUGUAACUGACGUUGAGGCUCGAAAGCGUGGGGAGCAAACAGGAUUAGAUACCCCUGUAGUC
rnacentral:rRNA from 1 species